GUUUCACCAGUGGCAGUUGUCGAUCCUGCAUGAAGAGAAGAAUUGGAUUUGGAGAUGUAGAGAACAGAGGUCUGUUGCAUCUUCUUGCAGUGUCUGACAGGCAGUCGGCAGGCACCAAGUGGAUUACAGCAGGGUGGCAUGGAUCCUCAGUCCUCAGGUGAAGGGCUUGAGGGCACGGAGGUGGGGGUGAACACUUCUCUGGACAUCCCUUGAUCCUAGCUGCUAUCUAAGCCAGACUGCAAAGAUUCCUCUGGCCCUGUGAACAAUCAGCUUGUAGUGAUUCUUAGAUCAGGUGCCUGCAGAGGUUUGCAAGCACACAGGUCAUAUGGUGCAUUUCUGUUUCCUGACUGAAAGAGCAAAAAUGUUUUAGAAUCUGCUGUUCUAUCAAGUCUUCCUUCCAGCAACAAACUCAGGGGACACAAGCAGAAUGGAAGCAAAUAUGUUUUACACAAAUGAAUAAAUGUUUGCAAAGGAUAGCAUGUUUUCCUUGCUCAGGCUUCGCUUCUUAAUGCUGGCUGCCAGAUAUCUCUUUAGAUGAACGCAUAGUGCCCUAUGUCAAAAUAGAUGCAGCAUUGAUUUCUUGCUACCUUUACAUACUUGGGGAACAGAUUAAACUUCCCUAGAUACGCCAAAAUGUUCACAGCGAAGGAUGCCUGAGACAUGUAUUUUCCAUGAACAUCUACCAUGCUGCUUGUCUUUUUCAGGAUGUUCCCAACCUUGGGUCCUCAGACCUUAUUGGAUUACAACUCCUAUCAUCCCCAGUCUUUGGCUAUUGUGGCUUCAAGGGUUAUAGCCGUGAAUUUAAUAGUUUCUAUGUUAUUUCUGAGCCCUGUGGUUGCCUUUGGUAGAAUACAGGAGGAGUUUACCAUUGCUAUCUCCCGCAAAGUAUGAGAUGAUGUCUUUCAGCAUCUUCCUAUAUCACUGCUGCCCGAUAAGGUGUUUUCCUGGGAAAGUCUGGGAAGGAUAAAUAAAGAGGAGGGUGCAUUCCCAAUUUUGGGAGUAUUUCUUGCAUCUUCUCUUAGAAUCUAGCAAUCCAAUAAAAUAUCCUUCACACUAGGAUAUUUCCAGGGUGGUUUUAGACUUGUUGGAAAUGUAUAAUGCUUUAUUUCUCUAACCACAGCUCAGUUUAACCAGCAUUUCCAUUAGCUAAUACUAGUGAUUUAAGUGUUAUUACCUCUGGUUUUAACCAAAGUGGGGGGGAAACUGCCUUACCUUAUUUUGUCACUUAAAAUGGAAAUUAUGGUGGUGUCUACUGUGACAUGAUAACAAUUUAAUAACAUUGCACAACACAGAACCUAAAAGUGAUAGAUGGAUUGAUACAAAGCGAAAGAAAGAAAGAAAGAAAGAAAGAAAGAAAGAAAGAAAGAAAGAAAGAAAGAAAGAAAGAAAAGCUUACAGGAUAAAAACAAAUUUGUAUUAACUAACUUAAGCAUUCAUAAAAAAUUAACUUGCCUGAAAUCUUGCCUUUCCCCCCCUCUCAUCUGUUCCCUUUGCCUCUGCUUAGUAUGGAUUUUGUUAGAGGUUAUCUUAAAAGGGGCAAGUGAUUUCUCUUCAAAGCAAGUUUUGUAAAUCAUAGAGCCCUUUCUCAUGAUCAAUGAGAAGGGCUUGGCAGUGUAAGGCAGGGUAGGCUUCUCAAACUUACCCUCACCCUCAGACGAUUCCUCCAUCCCUCCUGGGUGAGCAGAUUGCCUGCUCAGACUAGGUCAAGCUCAAACCGGUUCAACAUCGAACUUGGCUGGCUCAGCUCAAACUUGAGCUGACUGGUCCAAGGGUUCCAGCAACAACAACAAAAUUUUAGACACUCACCAUCUCACCCCGAGCUCAUCACAUCGGGGAGUGCUGCUGUGGGUGCAGGAAUGGGGUGUCUCGAGUAGUUCUCCCCCACCCCCGGUCUCAAUCCAUCCUCGUUCAGGUGGUAGCCGGCCCGUUCUGGGCCUCUUUGCACUGCCGGUGGCCAUUUUAGAGACAGCCACGCAUGCACACUGGCCAUCUGUGUGGCUGGUUCGAAUUCAAACCAAACCAGGAGGGUAUGUUUGGGCCGGGGCAAAACUGAACAUACCCGGUUCAGACUCGAAUUGAACUGGGCACACGAGUUUGCACACUCCUCGCCCAGACAAUUGCUGGCUGUGCUAGCCCAGAAAUCCCACAAUGGCCUGGAAAUCCCACCAUGUACCACAUGGGUACACAGUGCAUUGUAGGGAUUCCCCUGGCGCCAGCUAGGACCCAGUGCAAGCAGCCAGUGCUGACAGAUGAUCAUAAAAAUAGGGCUAAGAGAGCGCUUGCUCCCUUAAUCCAGUUUAAGAGGCAGGCUCCGCAGGUGGGUUUGCUGCCGUAGCGCCGCUGGCAGUCACUCAUCUCCUGCUGCUUCUCCAGCUUAGCCAAGACUGGGCUUGGCUGCUUUAGCCCAGUUUUGGCUUCGCCUGAGAACAGCCCCAUCGUGUCUUUAAUGCAUGUUAGUGAAAUUACCAUUCAACUAAUGAACCUUAAUGAAUUGCAACAUCUGUGCAUGAAUGGAAGAGAUAUUGGUCUGUGAGAAGACCACUAGAAUCUGAGAAAAAUUGGCCAGGACUGUAGGCAUCAAAAUGUGUUGGCAUAUAUAACUAACACUUCCUCUAUAAGGUUUGAUAAUUUUCUGAAAACAAGGAGAUUUUUUGUUUUGUUUUUCUGGAAUGACCGCAGGUGGGGACAGCAUGUGCAAUCUCAGCUGAGUGUAUGUGUCGUAAUGGAAGUUCUGUCUGUAGUCUCUCAUCAAUCUCUUUAUGGUCAUCUGGAGAGGUUCUGCUGCAUGUCCUACUUUUAUUGGAGGGGUGGUGGACAAACAAGGGGUGGCCAUCUUGUGUGCAGUGCCCAGGUUAUGGAUCCAUUGUGACCCUGCAUGUAUCAUCUUCUAAAGAUGUUGUUUAAAACUGCAUUUAAUCUCUCUUAAUAUCUUCUGCCUUUUAUGUGCAAUCUGGUAUUUGAGCUUGGCUCCUCGGAAAAUCUUUUUAUGAUCUUUAUUGUAUCUUUUCAGCUAAUGCAUUGUGUAUAAUUGAUUGUUCCAACUUGAUUGUUGUAAGCCAUGUAACACUUGUUGAAAAAUUAAAGUCUGUGUCUAUGUAUGUCUUAAAUAAAUCUGGGAAACUA